rnacentral:rRNA from 1 species
AUUGAACGCUGGCGGCAUGCCUUACACAUGCAAGUCGAACGGCAGCACGGGAGCAAUCCUGGUGGCGAGUGGCGAACGGGUGAGUAAUAUAUCGGAACGUGCCCAGUCGUGGGGAUAACGUAGCGAAAGCUACGCUAAUACCGCAUACGAUCUAUGGAUGAAAGCGGGGGGAUCGCAAGACCUCGCGCGAGUGGAGCGGCCGAUAUCAGAUUAGGUAGUUGGUGAGGUAAAGGCUCACCAAGCCGACGAUCUGUAGCUGGUCUGAGAGGACGACCAGCCACACUGGGACUGAGACACGGCCCAGACUCCUACGGGAGGCAGCAGUGGGGAAUUUUGGACAAUGGGC